CCGUGCUAGACGGGGAGGUAGCGGUGCCCUGUAACUCGCAAUCCGCUGUAGCGAGGUUGAAUUCCUGUUAGAGGUCUUGCUGAUGUAAGGUUUGGUCCUGUCGGUCAUCGUUGACGGUUGGGUCCUCCGCAAUGAGUAUCUGUGAACCUGGUCAGGUCCGGAAGGAAGCAGCCAUAAGCAGUCCCACUCUUGUGCCGGAGGGCGGCCUAACCCGAGGUGUUCCGGCAGGGUGCCGCUUGGAUCGCAAUGAUCGAUAACAGGUGCACGG
rnacentral:SRP_RNA from 1 species